rnacentral:lncRNA from 1 species
GAGUGUUUCAAACCUGCUCUAACAAAGGGAAUGUUCAACACUGUGACUUCAAUUGAAACAUCCCAAAGAAAUUUCUGAGAAUGCUUCUGUCUAGAGUUUAUAUGAAGACAAUCCCGUUUCCAACGAAAUCCUCAAAGCUAUCCAAAUAUCCUCUUGCAGAUUUAACAAAAUAGUGUUUCAAAACUGCUCUAUCAAAAGAAAGGUUCAACAUUGUUAGUUGAGGGCACACAUCACAAAUAAGUUUCUGAGAAUGCUUCUGUCUAGUUUUCAGGGGAAGAUAUUUCCUUUUUCACCAUAGGCCUGAAAGCGCUCCAAAUGUCCACAUCCAGAUUCUACAAAAAGAGUUUUUCAAUCCUGCUCUAUGAAAGGGAAUGUUCAACUCUGUGACUUGAAUGCAAACAUCACAAAGAAGUUUCUGAGAAUGCUGCGGCCUGCUUUUUAUAUGUAAUCCCGUUUCCAACGAAAUCCUCAAAUCUAGCUAAAUAUGCACUUGCAGAUUCCACAAAAAGAGUGUUUCAAAACUGCUCCUUCAAAACGAUUGUUGAAUUCUGUUAGUUGAGUACACACAUCACAAAUAAGUUUCUGAGAAUGCUUCUGUCUUGUUUCUAUGGGAAGGUAUUUCCUUUUUCAACACAAGCCUGAAUGCACUCCAAAUGGACACUUCCAGAUAUGACAAAAGGCGUGUUUCCAACCUGC